rnacentral:rRNA from 1 species
GAGAAAGACAUAAAUAAAAUUUGUGAAAACACAAAGCGUAAAACUAUUAAACGAUACAAUUUCUAAAACACUUAACAACAUACAACUGGCAUAAUAGCUUUUCUAUCGGUAGAGGAGCGUUGUAUAUGAGAAGAAGCAAAAAGCGUAAGCAAUUGUGGAUUAUAUACAAGUGAGAAUGCUGGCAUGAGUAGCGAAAAGGGAUGUGAGAAUCAUCCCCGUCGAAAGCCCAAGGAUUCCUGAGCAAGGCUCGUCCUCUCAGGGUAAGUCGGGACCUAAGGCGAGGCCGAAAGGCGUAGUCGAUGGACAACAGGUAGAAAUUCCUGUACUACAAGAUUGUGAUUGAGAGAAGUACUGACGCAGAAGGAAAAGUCGAGCGUGCUGAUGGUUGUGCACGUCCAAAUAACAAGCCAGAAUAUACAGGCAAAUCCGUAUAUUCGUCAACGUAAGUUAUGAUGGGGAGCAGAAAGAUGCGAAGCGACAGAUUCAAACUGCCAAGAAAAGGUGCUAUCGAAUAAUCUUGUACCCGUACCGCAAACCGACACAGGUAGGCAAGAAGAGAAUUCUAAGACGCGCGGAAGAACCUUUGUUAAGGAACUCGGCAAAAUAAUCCCGUAAGUUAGCGAGAAGGGAUGCCUAAGAAAUUAGGUCGCAGAGAAUAGGCCCAAGCGACUGUUUACCAAAAACACAAGUAUCUGCUAAAUCGAAAGAUGAAGUAUAGGUGCUGACACCUGCCCGGUGCUGGAAGGUCAAGGGGACUUGUUAGAGCAAUCGAAGCAAUGAACUUAAGCCCCAGUAAACGGCGGCCGUAACUAUAACGGUCCUAAGGUAGCGAAAUUCCUUGUCGGGUAAGUUCCGACCCGCACGAAAGGUGUAACGAUUUGGGCGCUGUCUCAACAAAGGAUCCGGUGAAAUUGUAGUAGUCGUGAAGAUGCGACUUACCCACGGUAGGACGGAAAGACCCCGUGGAGCUUUACUGCAGGUUGACAUUGAAUUUUGGGAUUAAAUGUACAGGAUAGGUGGGAGACGAAGAAGCAAGCUCGCCAGAGUUUGCAGAGUCACUGUUGGGAUACCACCCUUUUAAUUCUAAAGUUCUAACUAGUUACCAUGAAGCUGGUAAUAGGACACUGUCAGUCGGGCAGUUUGACUGGGGCGGUCGCCUCCAAAAAAGUAACGGAGGCGUUCAAAGGUUCGCUCAGAAUGGUUGGAAAUCAUUCAAAGAGUACAAAGGCAAAAGCGAGCUUAACUGCGAGACAUACAGGUCGAGCAGAGACGAAAGUCGGACUUAGUGAUCCGGUGGUACCGAGUGGAAGGGCCAUCGCUCAACGGAUAAAAGCUACCCCGGGGAUAACAGGCUUAUCUCCCCCAAGAGUCCACAUCGACGGGGAGGUUUGGCACCUCGAUGUCGGCUCGUCUCAUCCUGGAGCUGGAGUAGGUUCCAAGGGUUGGGCUGUUCGCCCAUUAAAGAGGCACGCGAGCUGGGUUCAGAACGUCGUGAGACAGUUCGGUCCCUAUCCACCGUGGGCGUGAGAAAUUUGAGAGGAUCUGUCCUUAGUACGAGAGGACCGGGAUGGACAGACCGCUGGUGUACGAGUUGUACUGCCAAGUGCACAGCUCGGUAGCUACGUCUGGGAAGGAUAAGUGCUGAAGGCAUCUAAGCACGAAACCAACCUCGAGAUAAGAUUUCUAUGAGAUUACUUGAAGAAAACAAGAUAGAUAGGUCAGAGGUGUAAAGAUAGUAAUAUCAAAGCUAACUGAUACUAAUAAAUCGAAAACUUGACUGGA